UACGAAGGGGGCUAGCGUUGUUCGGAAUUACUGGGCGUAAAGCGCACGUAGGCGGAUUGUUAAGUCAGAGGUGAAAUCCCGGAGCUCAACUUCGGAACUGCCUUUGAUACUGAAGAUCUUGAGUCCGGGAGAGGUGAGUGGAACUGCGAGUGUAGAGGUGAAAUUCGUAGAUAUUCGCAAGAACACCAGUGGCGAAGGCGGCUCACUGGCCCGGUACUGACGCUGAGGCACGAAAGCGUGGGGAGCAAACAGG
rnacentral:rRNA from 1 species